CACCUGUAUAUAGAGGCUCAGUCCUCAACGCAGCGGCCAUGGGUUUGACUCCAACCAGUGGAUCUUUGCUGCAUGUCAUUCCCCCUCUCUCCCUUUUUAUGUCUAAGCUGUUCUGUCACAAAUAAAGGCCUAA